UACGUAGGUGACAAGCGUUGUCCGGAUUUACUGGGCGUAAAGAGCGCGCAGGCGGCCGAGCAAGUCGAGUGUGAAAGCCCCGGGCUUAACUUGGGAAUUGCGCUCGAAACUACUUGGCUGGAGUGUGGCAGAGGAAGGUGGAAUUCCAGGUGUAGCGGUGAAAUGCGUAGAGAUCUGGAGGAACACCGAUGGCGAAGGCAGCCUUCUGGGCCAACACUGACGCUCAUGCACGAAAGCGUGGGGAGCAAACAGG
rnacentral:rRNA from 1 species